UAGGCACUGUCAGCUUGGCUGACAACAACAGCUCUGUCAUCAACUUGGAAAUAGAAACUCUACUAGACACAGAGGCAAGAAAGUCAUGUUCUAGAAUUUUUUUUCCCCCCCAGGGAUUCUUUCAGCUCAAACUAUGUACAUUCAGAGAUAUCAGUAGCUCCAACAGAAAGAAAAAUGCAAAUCAUAAAGCAGCAGUUCUCAAAACACUGCUUAUGAGACAACAAGGGACUGUGAUUCAUGGCAGAUGGAAAACGAACAAGGUAAGCUCUGUUGCCUGUCAUGUUUACAGUUUGCAGGCCACACGCAGGGAAGGGGAAAUGAGGAGGGCACUGGAAAACACCUGAAUUGAGAAAGAGAAAGACAGGAGUUUGGAGAAGAGUGCAAGAGAAACAGCUGCCCAGAGAGAGAAGACAUUUGCAGAGGGUCCCCUGUGAGCAAUCAGCAGGAGACAGAUCAGAGCAUACCUGUGAGGGAACUGCCAGGUAACUGGGAGAAAGAACCCUCCAAGAAGAAGAGGGGUAAUACUACACAGUGUUCAGUCAGGGCAGGCAAUAAUGCCCUUUCUCAAUAGCAAGGCUGAAAAAGAGC
rnacentral:lncRNA from 1 species